GAUGUUAUAGAUGAUUUAUGUGAGAAGCUCCCAGACGACGAAGAAGAUAGGCAGGGGGGUGACUACGACUAAGGAUAAUGGAGAAUGACGUUGCGUAAUGAAUGAGUUGCCUGGGGCGUUACUGGUUUGCUUAUUGUGGGAUGUUUGUCUUGUUAGCGAAGUUUAGAUUGAGUGCGAAUUUCUGGACAAAAUUUCAUAGAUGGUUGAAAUACCGGAUCUCUUUUACGAGUAGCUCUAUACUUUUUUAAGCAGUUAAAUUAUACAUGAAAAAAUUCAAUUCUGUUUGGCUAAGAUGCAAUUUCACGAAAUACAGUGCCAAACUUAGAAACGCAAGCACCUAAACAAAAGAAAGUUCGAAUAAGUUUUUGACAGUUGAAAAUUUAUAUUACUGUCGUUCCAAUUGAAGUGUUCCUCAAAUAUUGAUUCAAUACAUUACCUCGGGCUGACCAAUUCAUUUCAUCAAGUUCCUCGAGAUAUUCAUACACUUCCUGUGAAAGAGCCAAUUCCAAGUAUUUGAUCAUUUCUGGUCACUUUCUUUCUAUUUAUGAUUGGUUAGUUGCACAAACAACAAAGGUGAUUGGUGCAUUCAAACUAUUCAACAGGAAGUUUACAAUUAUACUAGGAAGUGUAUGAAUAUUUCGAGGAACUUGAUGAAAUGAAUUGGUCAGCCCGAGGUAAUGUAUUGAAUCAAUAUUUGAGGAACACUUCAAUUGGAACGACAGUAAGGUUUUGUUGUGCCAUUCAAAUGAACGAGUAAAUUAUUUAUUUCGCAUGUGUUUAUGCAUACAAGUGAUCAUGAAUUUGCUUUUGCAUACGUCUUUCAUGUAUAUUAUUAAUUAAUUACAGUAUGGUUUUUCUGGUGCAAUUUGGAAAGGCAAACACACGUUGGUUUUUCAAAGACCUCAAUUUGAUCGUCUUCGAAAAACUCACUCGUGCAUGUUUUUUUUCCCACAUUGCACUCAAAACCAUAUACUAUCAUUACCUUAGUAUGUAAAGUUUAUCCAGUAACAUGAAUUGACUAAAUUGAAUUCAGUGAACUACUUGAAUUCAAGAACUACUCAAAACACCUAAUACCUAUAGUAUACUUAACCAGGUUUCAAGUUUGAUAUGACAAAAACAAAGCAAUAUGCAUGCAGUCAGUUUUAUUUCUUUGCAGAUAGCAAAUUUGAAUAGCUUAAAGCUUUUUCCUUUACAUCAUUAAAUUUUUGGAGUUACCAACUCCAGAAUUCCUAAACCUUAUUCAUCUACGUUUCGAAGUUUUGAAGUUCUCAUUAUCAUCUUCAUGGCACCAACAUUUGUAGGUUUGACUAUUUUCGUUGUAUAAUAUAAAUAAUCCUGUGUAUUCAAUGAGUCAGUCUUCGAAAGUCGUACCAGAAUUCGCACUCCCUCUAAACCUCCGUAUUCUACUGCGGGUUUGGCGAUCUAAUAUUGUGAAAGAUCGUUUAACGUUUUCCUGUUUUGAAUUUUUGGUGUAUAUUGAUGUAUACGAGCGGUAUUGAUUAUGUAAGAACAUAGGCAAUCAAGAUAUAGUUUUGGAAACUUGCCAAACUCUGAGCCAUCUAGAAAGACGUACGAUUUUGUGGUUCACCGUGCCACAAAUCUUUUGCAAUUUUGCAUAUUAGUAUUUCAAUACUAAUAUUUAUAUGAUAUAAUAUUAUAUUAUUUAACAAUUAUUCGCCGAAGGCGAGGUGAUUAUCGGUGAAUAAAAACCGAGACGAAGUCGAGGUUUUUAUUCACGAUAAUCACCGAGCCUGAGGUGAAUAAUUGUUUUAGUAUAAUUUCAUAGAUGAUUAUUUGGAAAAAAAUAAGAAAAUACACAUUUCUUCGUCAUUUAAUUGACAAAAAGGCUUCGACCGCCAUUUUGAAAAUCGCUUAGGUGAUUAUCGCGUAAUAAUCACCUCAACGGCAACCAAUCAGCGUGGAGAAUUUUCAAUAAUCACCUAUGUAAUUAUACUAAAUUAAUAUUAAUAUAAUACUAAUAUUUAUAUCAUAUAAUAUUAUUUAAGUAUUAAUUAUAUAAUAUUCUAUUAAUAAUUAGGGCCUGUUUAUAUGAGCUAAGCUAAAAAUUCGUUGUCUUCACUGGGCCCAUGUUUGGAUAAACAUGAACAAAAAUAGAAGAAUAAACUCGUUGGCCGAGUUUCUGGAGUAUAUCUUGAUUAACUAUGGUAUAUAAGAAUGAAAAGGGUUGAGUACUAUUCGAAAUAUUAAUAAUGCGUUUUUAUUCACACAUUUGCAUGUCGUGUUGGUUUUCUGCAUCAACUUCGUACAGCAUUUUAACUUUCAAUGUAAUAUUAUAUUAUUAGUUGGAAACAACUCUUUGUAGAGCAAAGGCAAAAAUUCAUUCACCAAUUAAAAUUAUUUGUGUCUGUUUCAAUCGC
rnacentral:lncRNA from 1 species